CAAAAUCAGCGCACCUGGAAGGGAAGCGCAAUGCUUCGCACCUGACGGAGGCUGGGUGGGCACGAGGUCUACCUAAGGAGUGGGGACAGCACCACCCCUGAGGCAGACGCCUGUGGCUUCUCCAGCCCCCUGUCACACCCUAGGUGGGAGCUGCUCCCCAGUGCAUCAGCCAUGGGUGCCCAGUGGGAUUCGCCACAUUUAUCCAAAGCCACACGUUCCGCAGUUGCUGAGCUGGCCCCAGCCUGGGGCCACAGCUGCCACCGCUGACCGGGAGAAGACGAGGCUGGGGACCACAUGGGGACGAGGAGCGGAGAAGCUAGCCCCUGCGGAGGGGAAAAGAGAAAUUCCUGGAGGAUGACACAGGCCCGCCGCCGUGGGGACGCACGGGACCGGCUGGGCCGGCUGCGCCCCCGCCGCCGCCUAACUACAGAGCGCACCGACAUCGCCACGGCCGGCCCGGCCAGGCCUGUGGGCGCCCUGAUUCUGGGGCCGGGGGCCGGGGCUGGGGCGGGACUGCGGGUCCUUGGCACUGCGUUGGCCUGCGGGGGCAGCGCCUGGGGCUCACGGAGGAGGGCAGAGGGGGAGGGGUCCCUGCCCUCUGGGCAGGAACACGGGGCGCCCUGUGUUGAGGCCCUUGCCCUCAGCCCUCAGUCAUCGUGGGUUGUGCAUGUGGCUGCUCCCCAGAGCUAGGCCCCGGAAGGAGGCAGAGACUUGACACUGCGCUGGGCCUCGAUUCCCCAUCUGUGCAGUGGGCUGAUAGCGGGAGAGUGAGGUUUUACCAAGCUGGGGAAUCAAACCCAGGGCCUCCUGCAUGCUACGCAAGCGCUGUACCACCCUGCACACCCCCAGCCUGUAGCAGCUAACAGAUGCCGCCCGCCUCAGCACUGGGGAUUGGACCUCAGGAUUGUGAUUCCUCGAAGACAGUAUGUGACGCCUGCUUCUUUUCCUGACUUAAAAGAAUGCCUGCUUAUUGAGGAGGAUGUGGGAACUACUGAGAAGUACAAAGAAAACAGAAAUCACCUGUCAGCUCAUUACUCAGCGUAAAGCACCCUAGACACCUGGGUGUAUUGUACCCCAACUUUCUUUCGUUACAUAUUGUAUUGUUCACACACACAUGUAUGUGUGCACACAUGUGUGUGCAUACACACACACUUUCCCAUAACAUUAGAGCCUAGAGACUUUCUCAUGGCAUUAAACUUCUGCACAUCUUAAUUUAGAAUAAAUCCCACAAAUGGGAUGCACCGUAGCCUUACCCUACCACUCAACUUCUCUGUGCCUCAGUUUCCUCCUUUGUAAAAUGGGGAUGAUGAUGUUCUUUCCUCCUAAAGGUCCUCAUCAGAGCUCAUUGUGACCGGCAUAAGUGUGGUAGCCCUUGGACCAAGGAAUGAGUCUACCAGAAGUGAUCAGGUGAAUUUGAAAAAGACCACACAGAAUUUCAAGAAAUGACAAAUACAAGUGAAAUCCUAAAAAGUCAUGACAGAGCUGGGAGACUGAAGCCCAGGCUAGAAAGGGAGCUCCAGAAGCCAGAACAUGCGAAGGACAUUGUGCAUAGAAGAGAGCACAAGAAAGCAAUGCCAUAACUUUAUGACCCUCAGGGUCUUCUCCCAGUGUGCAUGGUUGGAUCUGUCCCAAAACAGAAUGUGAAGGGUUUGAGACCUGAACUGUGGGGUGGACCGUCUCCCAGGUCCCAGUCUGGCCACUUGUCCUGGACUCGUGAAACCCAGCCAGAUGGCACUGUGGAAAUCUGUGAAACUGAGCUGAUACUGGAACCAGAGCCCAUAGAAAGUGAAUUUUAGACUGGACCUCGCCUAGGUCUAUUGUCUGUUAAAAUCAAUCAAGAGAUUAAUAAGUCAAUAUUUUCCUUGGGGUUUAAAUAAGACCUACAGUCACCAUGAGUUCAAGGCCAGCCUGGGCUACAUAUCGAGACCCUGUUUUAAAAAAAAACCCAGAACAAAUAAGCAUACAGAAGAACCAAAAUAUAAUUAUAGAAAUAGAAAUAAAAGAACAAAAGAGUUGGAAGGGUUCAAGACCAGAAUGGAAGAGAUGACAGUAGAAGGAUAGAUCUACAGGAAUUAUCCAAUCUGAACCACAGAGAGAAAAAGAUUGAAAAAACUUUGAGCAGAGUCUCAGGAAACUAUGGAGCAAUACCAAAAUGACAAAUACUCCUGUCAUCAGAGUCCUAGAAGGUGUGGACAAAGCACAGUUCAAGAAAUAAGAAGGGAACAAGAAUGGCUGGAAACUUCUCAAAAUUACAGGCUCAAGAAACUCCUUAAAGCUGGAGUUUUAGCUCAGUGGUUUCGCCACCUGCCUUGCAAGCAAGGACCCAAGUUCGAUCCCCAGCACCAAAAAAAAAAAAAAAAAAGAAAAAGAAAAAGAAAAAGAAACUCCUUAAACUUCAAACAGUUUAAGUUCAAAGAUAUCCACUUCUAGGCACAUGAUAAUCCAACUUCCUUAGAGACAAAGAUAUCUCCAAAGUGGUCAGAGAAAAAUAGAACACUUGUUUGUCAGUAUCUCACCAGAAACCAGGGAGGCUAACAGGAAGUGAAACAGUAUUUAUGAAGUGCUAGAAGAAAAGGACCACCAACCUGCAGUUCUAUACCCAGUGAAAAUAUCCUUUAGGAAAGGGAAUGAAAUAAAGGUAUCCUGACAUGAAGGAAAGCUUGGAGACUUUGUCACCAGCACACCAGCACACCUUUGUUUCUAAAACAAGUGGUAGAGGAAGUUCCUCCCAUGGAAGAGAGAUGACAUUAGAUCGAAAUGUGGAAUGACAGGAAUGAAGUGUGAAGGACAGAAAUGAUAAAUGUCUGAGUAAAUGUUCUGUUUCUUGUAUCUAAAAUAUGACUGAUGGUUGAAAACAAAAAUUCUGACAUUGUUUGAUGAGGUUUUAAAUGCAGACUGAAUGUACAGUAUAAAGAAAGGAGGACAGAUGGACUUCAGUGAUGAGAAGUAUUCCAUAUACCACUGAAAUAGUAUUUAUCCUAAGUAUUUAUACUAACCGUGGAAAGUUAAGAAUGUAUGUGAAAAGCCCAGAACAACCACCAAAAUAUUUUACAAACAGAUGUAGUAAAGAAUACAAUCAACAAAAUGUAUAAAUUAGACCAUAGAUAUGUAUGAUGAAUAAAACAGUAUUUUAAAUUGUACCCCUCCCUCCUGUGCAGUACUGGGGAUUGAACCCAGGGCCUCAUCCAUGCUCGGCAAGCACUCUACCACUGAGCUGCACCCCCACCUCAGAGUAUUUAAAGUUUGGCACCAUCUGCAGUUUCAGGCCUCCACAGCGGGUCUUGGAAGACAC
ensembl:lncRNA